rnacentral:rRNA from 1 species
UACAGAGGGUGCAAGCGUUAAUCGGAAUUACUGGGCGUAAAGGGUGUGUAGGUGGUUAAAGUAAGUCAGAUGUAAAAACCCUAGGCUUAACCUAGGAAUGUCGUUUGAAACUGCUUAGCUAGAGUACUAGAGAGGACAGUGGAAUUUCCGGUGUAGCGGUGAAAUGCGUAGAUAUCGGAAGGAACACCAGUGGCGAAGGCGACUGUCUGGGUAGUUACUGACACUGAAACACGAAAGCAUGGGUAGCAAACAGG